rnacentral:sRNA from 1 species
GAAUAGCGAAGGGUUUUAUUUGAUUGCCAAGUAUAAAUCAUAGAUAAAUCGUAAUCUUUUUUUCAUUUUUAUCACAAUUGAACUCCGUUAUACUAGUAUUCAAAAAUAUUGACGAUACUCGGUGUUCCUGUUGCCCCUCGAACACGUUUGACCUGAAUGUGGAAGCUGCAGCGUGGAAGGGGCAUCUCAUCAGCCACACUUAAAGCUGGCAGAUAUGACGGUAUAGAUUGA